UAUUAUAAAUUAUUUUAUUAUAGUUAUGCUAAAAAAAAAAACAAAUUUCAGCAAAAAUAGGCAUGUUUCAGGCGUUUCGGUGUCAAAUAAGUGUCUGAAAUAUACAUUUUUAUUUAUCAGAAACGUGGUUGCUCCAAGUCCAUGAUUGAAAGGCCAUUUCCAAAAAAAAUGCCCAAAAAAUGGCAAACAGAUUUUUUCUGGGCUUAGUUCAACAAUAAACCAAAUUUAAUGAGCUUGGCAUGUGUUUAGGUGCUGCUUAUAUCUCUAGUCUCUACCCAUUUGAACUAGAAAAAGAAAAGUAAAAAGAAAAAAAAGAAUUAUAGCUAAUUUUACCAAAAGCACCAAGCCUCAGUGAAGGGAAGGAAUGUUAGCCCAACAUCCAUGCACUAACAAAAUGAGCACCCUUUCUAUAGCUGCUAUUUAUCAAUAUGACCCAUUAUUUAGAAUCACUGCCUUGCCAAGUCAUAAAGUGGAGUUAGGACUACUUAAAUUUCCUUCUCCACUUCUAAAAUGUGUCUUUUUUUUUUUUUUUUUUUGCAGUCCAGAUAAAGUAGUUUUUUUUGCACGAAUUAAAUAAUGAGGGGAUGUCCAUAAAAGAAAAAUAAUAGUAAUAAUUUAUAAUAAUAAUAAUUGAGGUCUAUUUUUCCUCUUGUUUUUCACAUGAGAUGUCAUGGGCCUGACUUCUCCAUCGGCAUUUGCAAUUCUAAGUUCCAAAUGGGCCCAAACUUCAAAACCAUAAAAGAAGCGGACAAUCCCUAAUGACCAGAAAUGGUCUAUAAAUACCCAUUUAUACAUCUAUAGCUCCUGUGAUUUUAGGGUUUCUGCAGUUUAUUCUUCGGAGCCUCUUUCGCUGUUAUUUCCCCUUUCUUAGGUUGUGGCCUUUACGGUUUAUGCUGUGAGAUGUUGUUUGAGUGUCAUACUUUAUGUGCCACAUUGUCAAGUGCAGCCCUUAAGAUCGCCUUCCAAAUAACAAUGGAAGCGUUUUGAGUCAUAGCUGCACGAUAUUAAUCCGUUACUUUUUUGGGUUUUCUCUUUAGGGUUUUCCUAUUGAGUUCUCCUUAUUGUCCCAUCUGAGGUUUGUUCACUUUGAGCCAUCCUUUUAUUCUCUGUGCCCGAUUUUCGUCUUUCCCGGGCCCUUAGUAUAGCUAGUUCUUUUCAGAGCUAUCUUUAUCUUUGGGUUUUCGGAAAAGGAAUUCAGGUAUCAUUGAUGCUCCAUGAAUGACUCGCUUUUGGGUGGGAAACAUCUUCUGGAUGUGAUUUUUCUCAAGUGGGUUGUUUCUAGUUUAGUUGAAUAUGUUGCUAUUCUUAUAUUGUUUAUUUGAGGAAGUAAAAUUGGCAAGAAUGAUGAAUCAAUUAGAUGUGUGAAUGGAGUUAAUCCAUUGUGAACUUAAACUCUUGAGGCAUUUUAAUUAUCUGACUUGCCCAAGCUUUAUAUUGUACUUCUGUUGGUUUAUAACUGUCAGAAUUAUUCAUUUCUUCCUGAUCUCAGUCAUUUUUUCUUUUCAUUCUUUUGCUCUAAGUUUAUGUUUAGCUGAUCGUGAGUUAUAAUUUGAUGCCUCCGAUCCGCACAGUAUGAAAUGAGAUCUUUUGUUUUUGUGAUAUUAUUUGAAACUCCUUUUGUUUGCGUUUGUAAAUAAUUUGUUGGUUGCAAUCAUUCAUUGCCAGUGAUGACAAGAUCAAGGCUUGUUUCUCAAAACAUUCGCAGUGGCCGCCUAAGAGCUUUCGCCUUUGCCAGGCUUGAGAGCUAAUGCUGUUUCUCUCCUUCCUUGGAUGUCUGAGGCUCAAUUAUAUCUUGAAUGUUUGUUUGAAUCGGUUGGGUUAAUGAUGCUUAAUGCUUUGUUUACUGUUUUCAUUUAGUGAAAUUAUAUUGCUUUUGAAAUUAAAGGUUUUUAUGUUUUAACUUCUCAAUAAUACAUCUAUAUUAGGCUUAAUAUUCUUUCGGAAAAGGUAGGUAGUUGAAUUGAUUUUUGUCGGGAGUAUACGAAACAUGUUAUCACUUCAUCAUGUAUAGUCUCUGUUAAUGAUGACAGAUCCAAAGGCUUGUUUCUCAAAACAUUCGCAGUGGCCGCCUAAAGCUUUCGCCUUCGCCAGGCUUGAGAGUUAAUGCUGCUACAUUCCUUCCUUGGAUGUCUGAAAUCUAAAUUUAUCUAAUUGCAUAUUCCAUUAUUUUAGCUGUUGUAUUUACUGCAAUUAUUUGUUUUGAGACAAAUGUUCUUUGUUGUCCCAGUUAUAUUAAUUUGCUCGUUUAAUAACACAGCAAGAUUUAGCUGUGUUUGUCAUCCUCCAUCACUAGUUUAGCUGUGUAUGCCGUUUGUACGAUGUCAUGUAAUUCUUGAAUAAUGGUGCUAGUUUCACUAUUUCGGGGCUGGAGUUUGGCUCUUUGGUUGAGUUAAUAGUGCCAUAGAGAUGAAUGCAGCUCCCCAUAUCAAUCUUCUCAUCCGUUCACUUUGUUCGCUCAGAUCUUCUUUGCUGGCGGAUUUUGUUUUGCGUGACUGAUACAACUUGAGAUUUAUUUUGCAAUUAAUUUCACUGUAAUUAGAUUUCCUUUUUCUACUAUAAAUAUCGAGCAGUGAUUCAGGCAGCCUCUUUGCUGAUAUUGAAAUAGCCAAGAAGGUGUUUAACUUCUCGUAUAUCAAUGUCUUUUGCUCUUCAGAUUUGCUGAGUCUUAUCCUUGAAGCUGGUCUAGUAAGCUUAAGCACAUUUUUUUAAUUGAUUCUACCAUUGUUCGGUCAAUGGCAUUGAAUAUCUUGAACAUGCGUCCUCUUAUGUGUUAUUUGUAUGUUAAACUUGAUAUGCCCUUAUAUGUUUAGUUAUAUGUGUUGUGUGUAUGUGAAACUUGAUUUGCCUUUAUCAUGGUUAGAUACCUGUCUGUUGAUGAUGACAAAAUCCAUAAGGCUUGUUUCUCAAAACAUUCGCAGUGGCCGCCUAAAGCUUUCGCCUUCGCCAGGCUUGAGAGCUAAUGCUGCUUCAAUCCUUCCUUGGAUGUCUGAAACUAGAUUCUUCUGAUUGUCUUUCCUCUUGUGGGUGCACUUGUUGUACCUUUCUGACGAGUUCCAUCGCAUCCAAAGGAUGCAUCAUAAGUUUGCUGCUACAAAAUCAGCAAGAUGGCAAUGAUGUGUCACAAAUUAGUUUGCUUGCCAUCCUAUGUUGACCAGCUUAUUUGGAAAGUUGUUGCACAGCAUUAUUUUCAAUGCAUAAAUGAAUGGUACUUGAACUGAGCUUCCAAGCUUGUUUUGUAAAAGUUUUGAAUUUGAAUCUUUAUCCUGUCAGAUCCCACCGGUAGGAAUUAUCUUGAAUUUUGCUUCAAGUUUGCUGUAGUUGCUGCCCAUGUUUGCGAAUUAAAAAAAUAAAUGGCAAAAUGCAUUUUUAAGAUUUUGUA